rnacentral:rRNA from 1 species
UACGGAGGAUGCGAGCGUUAUCCGGAUUUAUUGGGUUUAAAGGGUGCGUAGGCGGAACAUUAAGUCAGCGGUAAAAUCGAGGGGCUCAACCCCUUUAAGCCGUUGAAACUGGUGAUCUUGAGUGGGAGAGAAGUAUGCGGAAUGCGCGGUGUAGCGGUGAAAUGCAUAGAUAUCGCGCAGAACUCCGAUUGCGAAGGCAGCAUGCCGGCUCCACACUGACGCUGAUGCUCGAAAGUGUGGGUAUCAAACAGG